GGGGUUGUGGCUCAGUGGUAGAGCACUUGCCUAGCAUUUGUGAGCACUGGGUUCGAGUCUCAGCACCUCA
rnacentral:tRNA from 1 species